UACGAAGGGGGCUAGCGUUGCUCGGAAUCACUGGGCGUAAAGCGCACGUAGGCGGCUCUCUAAGUCAGGGGUGAAAUCCUGGAGCUCAACUCCAGAACUGCCUUUGAUACUGGAGAGCUAGAGUCCGGAAGAGGUGAGUGGAACUGCGAGUGUAGAGGUGAAAUUCGUAGAUAUUCGCAAGAACACCAGUGGCGAAGGCGGCUCACUGGUCCGGUACUGACGCUGAGGUGCGAAAGCGUGGGAGCA
rnacentral:rRNA from 1 species